GGCGAACGCUGGCGGCGUGCUUAACACAUGCAAGUCGAACGGAAAGGCCCUGCUUUUGUGGGGUGCUCGAGUGGCGAACGGGUGAGUAACACGUGAGUAACCUGCCCUUGACUUUGGGAUAAUUUCAGGAAACUGGGGCUAAUACCGGAUAGGAGCUCCUGCUGCAUGGUGGGGGUUGGAAAGUUUCGGCGGUUGGGGAUGGACUCGCGGCUUAUCAGCUUGUUGGUGGGGUAGUGGCUUACCAAGGCUUUGACGGGUAGCCGGCCUGAGAGGGUGACCGGCCACAUUGGGACUGAGAUACGGCCCAGACUCCUACGGGAGGCAGCAGUGGGGAAUAUUGCACAAUGGGCGGAAGCCUGAUGCAGCAACGCCGCGUGCGGGAUGACGGCCUUCGGGUUGUAAACCGCUUUCGCCUGUGACGAAGCGUGAGUGACGGUAAUGGGUAAAGAAGCACCGGCUAACUACGUG
rnacentral:rRNA from 1 species